GGAUUAGAUACCCUGGUAGUCCACGCCCUAAACGUUGAAUACUCGUUGUUAGCGAUAUACUGUUAGCGACUAAGCGAAAGCAUUAAGUAUUCCACCUGGGGAGUACGACCGCAAGGUUGAAACUCAAAGGAAUUGACGGGGGCCCGCACAAGCGGAGGAGUAUGUGGUUUAAUUCGAUGAUACGCGAGGAACCUUACCUGGGCUUGAAAGUUAGUGACCGAUGCCGAAAGGUGUCUUCUCUUCGGAGCACAAAACUAGGUGCUGCAUGGCCGUCGUCAGCUCGUGUUG
rnacentral:rRNA from 1 species